UACGGAAGGCAGCAGUGGGGAAUAUUGCACAAUGGGCGCAAGCCUGAUGCAGCCAUGCCGCGUGUAUGAAGAAGGCCUUCGGGUUGUAAAGUACUUUCAGUCGUGAGGAAGGUGUUAAGGUUAAUAACCUUAGCAAUUGACGUUAGCGACAGAAGAAGCACCGGCUAACUCCGUUGCCAGCAGCCGCGGUAAUACGGAGGGUGCGAGCGUUAAUCGGAAUUACUGGGCGUAAAGGGCACGCAGGCGGUUAAUUAAGUUGGAUGUGAAAUCCCCGGGCUUAACCUGGGAAUGGCAUUCAAGACUGGUUAGCUAGAGUCUUGUAGAGGGGGUAGAAUUCCAUGUGUAGCGGUGAAAUGCGUAGAGAUGUGGAGGAAUACCGGUGGCGAAGGCGGCCCCUGGGACAAAGACUGACGCUCAUGUGCGAAAGCGUGGGGAGCAAACGAGGAUUAGAUACC
rnacentral:rRNA from 1 species